ACCCCGUGUUUAUGAUUUCGUAGUAAGUUAAUUCCGAAGUAAAAUAUGCGUAUUUUUUUUAUUGAAGGUCAGAAAUUAUUGAUACAACUGCAUCUGUGUCAAAGGAGAAUCAUUGCCCGGAUGAUUUUUUUACAAAGUCCGGAAGUGAAAAAUUUGACUUUUCUACGCCAGAAGUUACAGCUAAUGUUCCUAAGACAAACCAGGCUUUCCUGAGUUCUGAUCUGGACAUUUCAGUUAUUGACUCUC
rnacentral:lncRNA from 1 species